rnacentral:lncRNA from 1 species
AAUAGGAAUUUUUAAAGAAAUAUUAGAAAGAACACAAAUGUCAUUCAAAUACAUUUCAAUUCAAUCUAAAUUUAAUUCUAGUUAAAAUCCUAUUGAACUUCAUUCAAACUUUAAGCCAAACUAAUUGAAUCUUAAACCCUAAUAAAAUCCUAAGCCCUAAACCUUAAACCCUAACUAAAUCUUAAACCAAAUCCUAAUCCAAACCCUAAAUCCUAAAUCAAAUCCUAAACAAAUCCUAAAUCCUAAAUCAAAUCCUAACCAAACCCUAAACCAAAUCCUAAUCCAAAUCCUAAUCCUAACCCUAAAACCUAAACCAAAUCCUAACCAAAUCCUAACCAAACCCUAAACCCUAAAUCAAAUCCUAUCCAAAUCCUAAACCCUAAAUAAAACCCUAAUCCAAAUCCUAAACCCUAAACCAAAUCCUAUUCCAAAUCCUAAACCCUAAAUAAAACCCUAAUCCAAAUCCUAAACCCUAAACCAAACCCUAGUCCAAAUCCUAAACCCCAAACCAAAUCCUAACCAA